rnacentral:sRNA from 1 species
GGUAAACACGAAUAUUGUUUAUAAAAUUACACAAAACUUUAUUUUCUAUGUAUUGUUCAGAGACAUUUUUGGGAAACAUCAGUUAGUUAAAACGUUUUUAAUCGUUGCUUAGUGGUAAGUAAACAAUAUAACUAGCAUAGGUUGUUUUUGUAUGAAUGUGCGAAUUGCAUGAUAUAAAUUACAAAUAGUCUAGGUCUCUUUUUAUGCGAUUUGUGGGAAUAAUUUUGCACAAGUUUUUGGAUUUAUUCAUUCCCAUCGAAACUAAAAUCUAACGACAAAUACAAUUAGUGGUAGGGGUAGGUAGGGGAUGAAAUGAUUUCACGGGUACAAUUAUAAAAUAUAAUUCUUGGAGAGACAACGCCGAUGUGUUCGGCCAGCAAAUGAACUCGUUGCCCACUCUCUCUCGGUGUCCACCGCUCCGCCGCUCGCUCCCACUGAGAUGGUGACCCAGCGGAAGGAGCUGGCGGGCUCCAGUUUAGUUCGGUUCCUAGUCUUACCGGAGGAACUCACUCCCAGCGGCCGGCUCGCGAGCAACUUGUGCUCCGGGGGCAAAGAUGCCGGAGCCAGCUCUUGGCAGUGGCCGAAAACUGCUCAAGGGACUCCAGCAGAUUACGAUAUCUGGGGGAUGGGUGAUGCAGGUAAAGAUAGUUGGCAAUGCGACUACUACGGUAACUAUACGCAUUUUUUAACGAACACGAAA